UACGUAGGGGGCAAGCGUUGUCCGGAUUUAUUGGGCGUAAAGAGCGUGUAGGCGGUCAGGUGGGUCUGCUGUGAAAACUCGAGGCUUAACCUCGAGCUGUCGGCGGAAACCAUCUGGCUAGAGUCCGGAAGAGGAGAAUGGAAUUCCCGGUGUAGCGGUGAAAUGCGCAGAUAUCGGGAAGAACACCCGUGGCGAAGGCGGUUCUCUGGGACGGUACUGACGCUGAGACGCGA
rnacentral:rRNA from 1 species